GACGAACGCUGGCGGCGUGCUUAACACAUGCAAGUCGAACGGAAAGGCCCUGCUUUUGUGGGGUGCUCGAGUGGCGAACGGGUGAGUAACACGUGAGUAACCUGCCCUUGACUUUGGGAUAACUUCAGGAAACUGGGGCUAAUACCGGAUAGGAGCUCCUGCUGCAUGGUGGGGGUUGGAAAGUUUCGGCGGUUGGGGAUGGACUCGCGGCUUAUCAGCUUGUUGGUGGGGUAGUGGCUUACCAAGGCUUUGACGGGUAGCCGGCCUGAGAGGGUGACCGGCCACAUUGGGACUGAGAUACGGCCCAGACUCCUUCGGGAGGCAGCAGUGGGGAAUAUUGCACAAUGGGCGGAAGCCUGAUGCAGCAACGCCGCGUGCGGGAUGACGGCCUUCGGUUUGUAAACCGCUUUCGCCUGUGACGAAGCGUGAGUGACGGUAAUGGGUAAAGAAGCACCGGCUAACUACGUG
rnacentral:rRNA from 1 species